UACGUAGGGUGCAAGCGUUGUCCGGAAUUAUUGGGCGUAAAGAGCUCGUAGGCGGUUUGUCGCGUCGAAUGUGAAACCCCGGGGCUCAACCCCGGGCCUGCAUUCGAUACGGGCAGACUAGAGUUCGGUAGGGGAGUCUGGAAUUCCUGGUGUAGCGGUGAAAUGCGCAGAUAUCAGGAGGAACACCGGUGGCGAAGGCGGGACUCUGGGCCGAUACUGACGCUGAGGAGCGAAAGCGUGGGGAGCAAACAGG
rnacentral:rRNA from 1 species